AUAGUAAGCUAAAGAAACAUUUGAUUGAAUUGAGAGCCAUACAUAGCUUCAAGAAUGAAAAACAUCUGAAUGCAGCCUUCAUAAUGUCCAUUUCAAGCUGAACCCAAUGCAGCCUGUGUGAGAGUCAAAAUUGCAUAUUCUCCUCCCCAGACCAGCAGGAUGGCAGGCAAUCAUUCUGCACAGCCUUAAUCCCUUGUUGCUGUGUAACCUGUUCUUGUUCCCUCCCUACCAUCCUUGAGCAGCAGUAGAAGACAGUAAGAUAAGUGUGCACAAAGACACUUGUGCGUGAAGGAGAUUUAAGUGGAAAAGUCGAUGCACAGAGACAGUCCCACUCUCUUGGUGUUGGAAGCCUGGGUCCAGUGGCACGAAAAGUCAUUACACCUGGAGACUUCCUCAGCUACAUUGGAUGGCCAUGUUGUCUUUUGUACUCCAACACGCCCUAAGCACUCCACAGUGCUUUGCUGUGUUGCCCUCUCAGCCGUUGAACCUUCUUAUUGGUUUCUUCCGUCUGUUCCGCCGAAGCAGUCUUCACAUGCUGGGAGAAUCCUGAUGCAAUCAAGUCUUCUAGAAAUUAUUAUAACAGCUUUACAAUGGCUUUAA
rnacentral:lncRNA from 1 species